rnacentral:rRNA from 1 species
UACCAGCACCCCGAGUGGUCGGGACGUUUAUUGGGCCUAAAGCAUCCGUAGCCGGUUCUACAAGUCUUCCGUUAAAUCCACCUGCUUAACAGAUGGGCUGCGGAAGAUACUAUGGAGCUAGGAGGCGGGAGAGGCAAGCGGUACUCGAUGGGUAGGGGUAAAAUCCGUUGAUCCAUUGAAGACCACCAGUGGCGAAGGCGGCUUUCUGGUCUGUAACUGACGCUGAGGCGCGAAAGCGUGGGGAGCAAACAGG